GGAAUAUUGGUCAAUGGAGGCAACUCUGAACCAGCCAUGCCGCGUGCAGGAUGACGCAUCUAUGGUGUGUAAACUGCUUUUGUACAGGAAGAAAAAAAGUUACGUGUAAUUUAUUGACGGUACUGUAAGAAUAAGGAUCGGCUAACUCCGUGCCAGCAGCCGCGGUAAUACGGAGGAUCCAAGCGUUAUCCGGAAUCAUUGGGUUUAAAGGGUCCGUAGGCGGGUUAUUAAGUCAGUGGUGAAAGUUUUCGGCUUAACCGAAAAAUUGCCAUUGAUACUGGUAGUCUUGAAUUAUUGUGGAGUAACUAGAAUAUGUAGUGUAGCGGUGAAAUGCUUAGAUAUUACAUGGAAUACCAAUUGCGAAGGUAGGUUACUAACAAUAUACUGACGCUGAUGGACGAAAGCGUGGGUAGCGAACAGGAUUAGAUACCCGUG
rnacentral:rRNA from 1 species